CGCUAUUUGCCAGCACUGCAGUAUUUUCAUACGGUUCGUGUAGCUUUUUGUCAGGAGAACAGUAAUAUCUUCUCAGUAAACUGGUCUCCAUGCGCAUGGAUAUAAGUUUGUAUAAAUGUAAAAAAAACAAAAUGAAACAAUCAAAAAAAUGAAAAAUAUCCUGAGUCUGGAGGCACAUUAAAACACAAAAGGUCAGCUACCAAGGAAAGCAACAUACCAAUGAGAUGCAAAGAAAAAAUAGCAUAACUAUGUGUCGGCUUACACUGGCCAAUGGAUAAUUUUGACUGUUUACUUAAAAAGCUACAUUUUUGGAUCAGAAAAGAAAUCCACACUUCCAGAGAGAGUUUUUACAAUUCAAAGCUUGAAAAGCAGCACACAGGAAUGGCCCAGCAGAGUCUAGCACUAGGAUCAUUCUGGCUCUGAUAAUCAUAACACAGUUUCACCUCUAAAGGAAUAAAAAAUAUUUCAUUUUCAAGACUGUGUGAAUGCUAAAAAGGUCACUAAGAGAGAGACUGGGUCAAAUUAGUAAGUCUCUACUAAGGUCAAAGUUUUCAAGCACCAUCAUUGCUGACAUUGUAGAGAAGUAAUACACCAAGCCUGGGACUUUUUCAGUUUGUUGUGUUAUUUCCAAAAGAAGAAAAAUAAUAGGAAGAAAAACACCUAUUUAGAUCACAUAACUGGUUAUUAAGAAAUGCGGUUUUAUUGUGCCAUCUGUUUGUACUCUGACCAAGCAUUUUAAGUCUGAAAUCUGAAGGUUUCUUACCAACCACACUUUUAAUGUUCAACAUGGCUCCCUUGAAUGAAAUACUCGCCCAAGUAAAAAAAAAGUGUUUGCACUUCUGCUGUAUCAUAUGUCAUCAAAUCAUGUACCCGCAUAUGACUACAGAAAAUAUGUCACUUAGCUUGUUCCUAAGGCUUUUUGAUAAGAUACAGAUAAACAUAUUACUACUCGUUUAUAUUGCUAACAGUAGUUAAUCUGCUCCCUGAGAAAAUCCCACAAGUUUUCAAGCUUGAAACAGAAACGCGACUGUUUUUAAUUUCAUACAAUCACCAAAUCCAAGUUCUGACUCAGGAGGUAAAAUGAUC